AUUGAACGCUGGCGGCAUGCCUUACACAUGCAAGUCGAACGGCAGCACGGACUUCGGUCUGGUGGCGAGUGGCGAACGGGUGAGCAAUGUAUCGGAACGUACCUUUCAGUGGGGGAUAACUAUCCGAAAGGAUAGCUAAUACCGCAUAUUCUGUGAGCAGGAAGGCAGGGGAUCGCAAGACCUUGCGCUGAUUGAGCGGCCGAUAUCAGAUUAGCUAGUUGGUGGGGUAAAGGCCUACCAAGGCUACGAUCUGUAGCGGGUCUGAGAGGAUGAUCCGCCACACUGGAACUGGGACACGGCCCAGACUCCUACGGGAGGCAGCAGUGGGGAAUUUCGGACAAUGGGGGCAACCCUGAUCCAGCCAUGCCGCGUGAGUGAAGAAGGCCUUCGGGUUGUAAAGCUCUUUCGUCCGGGAAGAAAUCGCAUCAGCUAAUACCUGGUGUGGAUGACGGUACCGGAAUAAGAAGCACCGGCUAACUACGUGCCAGCAGCCGCCGUAA
rnacentral:rRNA from 1 species